rnacentral:rRNA from 1 species
GCCCCGGUAAACGGCGGCCGUAACUAUAACGGUCCUAAGGUAGCGAAAUUCCUUGUCGGGUAAGUUCCGACCUGCACGAAUGGCGUAAUGAUGGCCAGGCUGUCUCCACCCGAGACUCAGUGAAAUUGAACUCGCUGUGAAGAUGCAGUGUACCCGCGGCAAGACGGAAAGACCCCGUGAACCUUUACUAUAGCUUGACACUGAACAUUGAGCCUUGAUGUGUAGGAUAGGUGGGAGGCUUUGAAGUGUGGACGCCAGUCUGCAUGGAGCCGACCUUGAAAUACCACCCUUUAAUGUUUGAUGUUCUAACGUUGGCCCGUAAUCCGGGUUGCGGACAGUGUCUGGUGGGUAGUUUGACUGGGGCGGUCUCCUCCUAAAGAGUAACGGAGGAGCACGAAGGUUGGCUAAUCCUGGUCGGACAUCAGGAGGUUAGUGCAAUGGCAUAAGCCAGCUUGACUGCGAGCGUGACGGCGCGAGCAGGUGCGAAAGCAGGUCAUAGUGAUCCGGUGGUUCUGAAUGGAAGGGCCAUCGCUCAACGGAUAAAAGGUACUCCGGGGAUAACAGGCUGAUACCGCCCAAGAGUUCAUAUCGACGGCGGUGUUUGGCACCUCGAUGUCGGCUCAUCACAUCCUGGGGCUGAAGUAGGUCCCAAGGGUAUGGCUGUUCGCCAUUUAAAGUGGUACGCGAGCUGGGUUUAGAACGUCGUGAGACAGUUCGGUCCCUAUCUGCCGUGGGCGCUGGAGAACUGAGGGGGGCUGCUCCUAGUACGAGAGGACCGGAGUGGACGCAUCACUGGUGUUCGGGUUGUCAUGCCAAUGGCACUGCCCGGUAGCUAAAUGCGGAAGAGAUAAGUGCUGAAAGCAUCUAAGCACGAAACUUGCCCCGAGAUGAGUUCUCCCUGACUCCUUGAGGGUCCUGAAGGAACGUUGAAGACGACGACGUUG